UACAGAGGGUGCGAGCGUUAAUCGGAAUUACUGGGCGUAAAGCGCGCGUAGGCGGCUUUGCAAGUCGGGUGUGAAAUCCCCAGGCUUAACCUGGGAACUGCAUUCGAAACUGCAUUGCUAGAGUAUGGGAGAGGGAAGUGGAAUUUCCGGUGUAGCGGUGAAAUGCGUAGAUAUCGGAAGGAACAUCAGUGGCGAAAGCGACUUCCUGGACCAAUACUGACGCUCAUGUGCGAAAGCGUGGGUAGCAAACAGG
rnacentral:rRNA from 1 species